GAGCCCCGCGAUCCGCCCCCCAGAGCCGCCCCCCAGCCGCUCCCGGGUCCUAGCGACCCACCCACCGCGAUGCAGCGUCUCUGUGUCCGGAUCUUGUUACACCCACAGGCUCUAAGGUCAGAAGGGCCCGUCACGAGCAUCUAGCCCAGGGGUUCUCACGACCAAAUUUUUGGUCGUCUCAAAGUGCGACCAGCAACUCUCACUGAUGGAGGAUCUGACACUUUUCCCUAAAUUACUUAAUGAACUUUCGGGGAAGCCAGUAAACAUGCGCAGAGCACAUCAUUUUUAAGUGAGCCAAGGAGGCAAGACAGAUCAGACUCCUGAAAGAGGUACCAUGGUGGGGAAAGGCUGAGAGCUACUGGAAUAUAGGACCAACAGAAAGAGCACACUGGAAAACAGACAAUGGUGGGGGGACGACUUCAGCGGUUUACUGAACUAUAACUGACAGACAAGAACAGCACCCUGCAGUGCUUCGGGAAGCCAAAAGGAGAGCAUGCUUUGCAUUCAUGAAAAGGGGGAUUUCAUCAAUGGUGGCUGGUGGCCCUGGGAGAAUGCUUUAGCCAUGGAUUUUACCUGUUAAAGUUAAACUUGGCCUAUCUGAAACCUGUUAUACCUGAUGAUUGGUUUGUAACUUGUUGGUCUUAUUACUUCGCUCACUAUCUCUUCAAUCUUAACUAAUAAACUCCUGUUUGUUUUCACUAAAAAUA